rnacentral:miRNA from 11 species
GAGAGAAGGCGUGGGAAGGAGC